UACGUAGGUGGCAAGCGUUGUCCGGAUUUAUUGGGCGUAAAGAGCUCGUAGGCGGUCUGUCGCGUCGGCUGUGAAAACUCGGGGCUCAACCCCGAGCCUGCAGUCGAUACUGGCAGGCUAGAGUGCGGUAGGGGAGACUGGAAUUCCUGGUGUAGCGGUGAAAUGCGCAGAUAUCAGGAGGAACACCGGUGGCGAAGGCGGGUCUCUGGGCCGUAACUGACGCUGAGGAGCGAAAGCGUGGGGAGCAAACAGG
rnacentral:rRNA from 1 species